rnacentral:rRNA from 1 species
AGUGAUUAGGGUUCGAUCCUGGCUCAGAACGAACGCUGGCGGCGUGCCUAACACAUGCAAGUCCAACGUGAAAGGGGAGCAAUCCCCCGGUAGGGUGGCAAACGGGUGAGUAAUACAUGGGUGAUCUACCUUAGGGAUGGGGAUAUCCUUCCGAAAGGAGGGGCAAUACCGAAUAUUGUCCGGAGCCGUGAAGGGUUCCGGGGAAAGGGAGGCCCCUGAUACAAGCUUUCGCCUUAAGAUGAGCCCAUGGCCCAUCAGCUAGUUGGUAGGGUAAAGGCCUACCAAGGCUACGACGGGUCGCUGGUCUGAGAGGACGACCAGCCACACUGGCACUGAGAUACGGGCCAGACUCCUACGGGAGGCAGCAGUGAGGAAUAUUGCGCAAUGGGGGAAACCCUGACGCAGCAACGCCGCGUGUGGGAAGAAGGCCUUCGGGUCGUAAACCACUUUUGCACGGGACGAAAAAGGGAUAUCGAACAAAUAUCCCCGAUGACG